rnacentral:lncRNA from 1 species
GAGGGUUUUAAAGAUAAAAGGAGAAGGUUAAAAAUAGAAAAGGGGUUUAAGUUUAAUGUUAAAAAUUUAAGAACUGAUUACUUGCUUUAAAAUCAAACUUAGUUUUUUUUGUUCAUAGUAGUAAAAUAAUAAAUAAAGGAAAGGAAAGAAAGGAUCGAAGUGUAUUAACGAAUUUUGAAGGUUGGAUUUUGAUAUCUGUGUCAGUCGCUAAUUUAUUU